rnacentral:rRNA from 1 species
GACGAACGCUGGCGGCGUGCCUAAUACAUGCAAGUCGAACGAACUCUGGUAUUGAUUGGUGCUUGCAUCAUGAUUUACAUUUGAGUGAGUGGCGAACUGGAGAGUAACACGUGGGAAACCUGCCCAGAAGCGGGGGAUAACACCUGGAAACAGAUGCUAAUACCGCAUAACAACUUGGACCGCAUGGUCCGAGCUUGAAAGAUGGCUUCGGCUAUCACUUUUGGAUGGUCCCGCGGCGUAUUAGCUAGAUGGUGGGGUAACGGCUCACCAUGGCAAUGAUACGUAGCCGACCUGAGAGGGUAAUCGGCCACAUUGGGACUGAGACACGGCCCAAACUCCUACGGGAGGCAGCAGUAGGGAAUCUUCCACAAUGGACGAAAGUCUGAUGGAGCAACGCCGCGUGAGUGAAGAAGGGUUUCGGCUCGUAAAACUCUGUUGUUAAAGAAGAACAUAUCUGAGAGUAACUGUUCAGGUAUUGACGGUAUUUAACCAGAAAGCCACGGCUAACUACGUGCCAGCAGCCGCGGUAAUACGUAGGUGGCAAGCGUUGUCCGGAUUUAUUGGGCGUAAAGCGAGCGCAGGCGGUUUUUUAAGUCUGAUGUGAAAGCCUUCGGCUCAACCGAAGAAGUGCAUCGGAAACUGGGAAACUUGAGUGCAGAAGAGGACAGUGGAACUCCAUGUGUAGCGGUGAAAUGCGUAGAUAUAUGGAAGAACACCAGUGGCGAAGGCGGCUGUCUGGUCUGUAACUGACGCUGAGGCUCGAAAGUAUGGGUAGCAAACAGGAUUAGAUACCCUGGUAGUCCAUACCGUAAACGAUGAAUGCUAAGUGUUGGAGGGUUUCCGCCCUUCAGUGCUGCAGCUAACGCAUUAAGCAUUCCGCCUGGGGAGUACGGCCGCAAGGCUGAAACUCAAAGGAAUUGACGGGGGCCCGCACAAGCGGUGGAGCAUGUGGUUUAAUUCGAAGCUACGCGAAGAACCUUACCAGGUCUUGACAUACUAUGCAAAUCUAAGAGAUUAGACGUUCCCUUCGGGGACAUGGAUACAGGUGGUGCAUGGUUGUCGUCAGCUCGUGUCGUGAGAUGUUGGGUUAAGUCCCGCAACGAGCGCAACCCUUAUUAUCAGUUGCCAGCAUUAAGUUGGGCACUCUGGUGAGACUGCCGGUGACAAACCGGAGGAAGGUGGGGAUGACGUCAAAUCAUCAUGCCCCUUAUGACCUGGGCUACACACGUGCUACAAUGGAUGGUACAACGAGUUGCGAACUCGCGAGAGUAAGCUAAUCUCUUAAAGCCAUUCUCAGUUCGGAUUGUAGGCUGCAACUCGCCUACAUGAAGUCGGAAUCGCUAGUAAUCGCGGAUCAGCAUGCCGCGGUGAAUACGUUCCCGGGCCUUGUACACACCGCCCGUCACACCAUGAGAGUUUGUAACACCCAAAGUCGGUGGGGUAACCUUUUAGGAACCAGCCGCCUAAGGUGGGACAGAUGAUUAGGGUG